rnacentral:rRNA from 1 species
UACGGAGGGAGCAAGCGUUACUCGGAAUUAUUGGGCGUAAAGGGCGCGUAGGCGAUCUGAAAAGUUCUGUGUGAAAGCCCACAUGUUAACUGUGGAAGUGCACAGAACACUGUUGGAUUUGAGUUCAGGAGAGGAAGGCAGAAUUCCCGGUGUAGCGGUGAAAUGCGUAGAGAUCGGGAGGAACACCUGUGGCGAAGGCGGCCGACUGGGCCGACCCUGACGCUGAGGCGCGAAGGCGUGGGGAGCGAACGGG